AGGCACUUAGCUCAAUCGGCAGAGCACCCGUUUGAAAGGCGGGAGGUUGCGCGUUCAAGCCGCGCGGUGCCCACCG
rnacentral:tRNA from 1 species